AAGUUGGAAUCGCUAGUAAUCGCGGAUCAGCACGCCGCGGUGAAUACGUUCCCGGGUCUUGUACACACCGCCCGUCACACCCUGGAAGCUGGUUAUACCCGAAGUCGUUAGGGGGUUAAAUCUUGAUGCCUAAGGUAGAAUUAGUGACUGAGGUGAAGUCGUAACAAGGUAACCGUACUGGAAGGUGCGGUUGGAUCACCUCCUU
rnacentral:rRNA from 12 species